rnacentral:lncRNA from 1 species
UUGAUACACCUGACUUGGUCUAGAUCACGAGCCUUCCUCUCCCUUGCUUUAGCCAACCGGAACAACUUCUUAUCCCCACCUCUCUCGCCUAGUUCCUCAUACAUGCGACCGAACGCCGCAUUUUUAGCUUCCGUGACCGCCAUCUUAGCUUCUCUUCUCGCCUCCCGAUAGACCAACCUGUUCGCUCUCCGCUCCUCCUCG